rnacentral:rRNA from 1 species
GUCUCAGGCCGGAUCAGCCUGAAGGCGCCCGAUCUCGUCUGAUCUCGGAAGCUAAGCAGGGUCGGGCCUGCUUAGUAUCUUGGAUGGGAGACCACCUGGGAAUCCCGGGGUGCUCGAGGCU